rnacentral:rRNA from 1 species
GACGAACGCUGGCGGCGUGCCUAACACAUGCAAGUCAAGGGGAAAGUUUUACUUCGGUUUAACGAGUAUACUGGCGGACGGGUGAGUAACGCGUAGGCAACCUGCCCUUUUGAACGGGAUAACCCAGCGAAAGUUGGACUAAUACCGUAUAUUGCAUAUAUAUCGCAUGAUUAAUAUGUUAAAGGCUGCUCUUCGGAGCAUCCACAAAAGGAUGGGCCUGCGUUCCAUUAGUUAGUUGGUGAGGUAACGGCUCACCAAGACAGCGAUGGAUAGCUGGUUUGAGAGAGUGAUCAGCCACACUGGGACUGAGAUACGGCCCAGACUCCUACGGGAGGCAGCAGUGAGGAAUAUUGCGCAAUGGAGGAAACUCUGACGCAGCAACGCCGCGUGGGGGAUGAAGUUCUAUGGAGCGUAAACCCCUGUAAGUAGGGACGAAAGGUAGAUAUUCAAAUAGGGUAUUUA